GGGAAACUGGUAUUUCUUCGGACAUUUUGCAAGGUGCUGCAUGGUUGUCGUCAGCUCGUGCCGUGAGGUGUCGGGUUAAGUCCCAUAACGAGCGCAACCCCUAUUGUUAGUUGCCAUCAGGUCAUGCUGGGGACUCUAACAAAACUGCCCGCGUAAGCGUGGAGGAAGGUGGGGAUGACGUCAAAUCAGCACGGCCCUUACGUCCAGGGCUACACACGUGCUACAAUGGCCGGUACAGAGGGCAGCCACUUGGUGACAAGGAGCAAAUCUCAAAAGCCGGUCUCAGUUCGGAUCGGAGUCUGCAACUCGACUCCGUGAAGUUGGAUUCGCUAGUAAUCGUAGAUCAGCAAUGCUACGGUGAAUACGUUCCCGGGCCUU
rnacentral:rRNA from 1 species